UAAGAAGUUGAAUAGUUUCACUUUAGCCUCUCGUAACGCAGUUGUUUUUCUCCACAGAAAGACUGACCAGUAAACAGUAUGUCUGGGAAGACUAACUCCUCACCAGACAGCUCUGGAUCUUGUGACAAGGAGUCAAGGAGUCCAAACCUUGAUUUCAAAAAGGGCUCCUCUCCUAGAACGGAAGAAUGUCGCACUCCAGUCAUGUUACCAACCAGAUCUCGUUUUUUUCCAACAAUCCAAUCCGACGAAACUUUUCCCAAAAGGAGCAGCUCCGAACCAAUUGGUCGACCAGAUUUCUAGCUGCCCAGAACGGAUGAACCGACCCCUGGCCCUAGUGUUGCCUCCGUACUCCCCAGAUGGAUGGAAGUGGGAUUGUGACGUUGCUGAGGCCGCCGUCAGAAGAUAAUUCUACUGGUCCGUUUACCUAAUCCUGAUACCUGUAACACCUAAUACCUAAUCCUGAUACCUAACAUGCCUAAUACCUAAUCCUGCACCACUUCCUUUAACCCACUAUUAUCAAGUUUAACACAAGUAAUGAUUUCUAUAUUCAUGUAACCUGCUAUGCUUCACGUUUUGCAGAUGAUAUAUUAAUGAUGUAUUAAUAAAUAAGAUUGUAAAUAUAUGUGAUGUGGUAAAAUAUGUAUAUCUGCCAUCAAUACCAACCUGGUGAUCAAAUUUACUGUAAUAUCUAAACACUACAACUUUUUAUUGUAAUCUGUAAUUGAAGAUGAUCUUUGUGUGGGCUAAUGUGUCUGCUGCCCUGUUGCAUCAUGGGAUAUGCUGAGGUUUUUAUUCUCUUAUCUAAUAAAAUGAUUGACUUGAUUUCUGGACUCUAACAAGUGUCUC